rnacentral:rRNA from 1 species
UACGGAGGGUGCAAGCGUUAAUCGGAAUCACUGGGCGUAAAGCGCACGUAGGCGGCACGUUAAGUCAGCUGUGAAAGCCCUGGGCUCAACCUGGGAAUGGCAGUUGAUACUGACGCGCUCGUGUCUGAGAGAGGGGGGUGGAAUUCCAGGUGUAGCGGUGAAAUGCGUAGAUAUCUGGAGGAACACCGGUGGCGAAGGCGGCCCCCUGGCUCAUGACUGACGCUGAGGUGCGAAAGCGUGGGGAGCGAACAGGAUUAGAUACCCUGGUAGUCCACGCCGUAAACGAUGAUCACUCGCUGUUGGCGAUACACAGUCAGCGGCUAAGCAAAAGCAUUAAGUGAUCCACCUGGGGAGUACGGCCGCAAGGCUGAA